rnacentral:rRNA from 1 species
CAAUAGCGUAUAUUAAAGUUGUUGCAGUUAAAUAGCUCGUAGUUGGAUUUGUGGCGUACGGUGUGUUCCGGGCACUUGUUGUCUGAGUAACCUGCUGUUGCCAUCCUUGGGUGGAACCUGUGUGGCAUUAGGUUGUCGUGCAGGGGAUGCCCAUCAUUUACUGUGAAAAAAUUAGAGUGUUCAAAGCAGGCUUAUGCCGUUGAAUAUAUUAGCAUGGAAUAAUGAGAUAGGACUUUUUUGCUAUUUUGUUGGUUUGCGCAAAGAGGUAAUGAUUAAUAGGGACAGUUGGGGGUAUUCGUAUUCCAUUGUCAGAGGUGAAAUUCUUGGAUUUUUGGAAGACGAACUACUGCGAAAGCAUUUACCAAGGAUGUUUUCAUUAA